rnacentral:rRNA from 1 species
AACUCAAAUGAAUUGACGGGGGCCUGCACAAGCGGUGGAGCAUGUGGUUAAUUCGAAGCAACGCGCAGAACCUUACCAGCGUUUGACAUGUCCGGACGAUUUCCAGAGAUGGAUUUCUUCCCUUCGGGGACUGGAACACAGGUGCUGCAUGGCUGUCGUCAGCUCGUGUCGUGAGAUGUUGGGUUAAGUCCCGCAACGAGCGCAACCCUCGUCCUUAGUUGCCAUCAUUCAGUUGGGCACUCUAAGGAAACCGCCGGUGAUAAGCCGGAGGAAGGUGGGGAUGACGUCAAGUCCUCAUGGCCCUUACGCGCUGGGCUACACACGUGCUACAAUGGCGGUGACAGUGGGCAGCAAUCCCGCAAGGGUGAGCUAAUCUCCAAAAGCCGUCUCAGUUCGGAUUGUUCUCUGCAACUCGAGAGCAUGAAGGCGGAAUCGCUAGUAAUCGCGGAUCAGCAUGCCGCGGUGAAUACGUUCCCAGGCCUUGUACACACCGCCCGUCACACCAUGGGAGUUGGAUUCACCCGAAGGCAGUGCGCUAACCGCAAGGAGGCAGCUGACCACGGUGGGUUCAGCGAAUGGGGUGAAGUCGUAACAAGGUAA